rnacentral:rRNA from 1 species
CCUACGGGGUGCAGCCGUGGGGAAUAUUGGGCAAUGGGCGCAAGCCUGACCCAGCAACGCCGCGUGAAGGAAGAAGGCUUUCGGGUUGUAACCUUCUUUUCUGAGGGACGAAGAAAGUGACGGUACCUCAGGAAUAAGCCACGGCUAACUACGUGCCAGCAGCCGCGGUAAUACGUAGGUGGCAAGCGUUAUCCGGAUUUAUUGGGUGUAAAGGGCGUGUAGGCGGGAAAGCAAGUCAGAUGUGAAAACUCAGUGCUCAACCCUGAGCCUGCAUGUGAAACUGUUUUUCUUGAGUGCUGGAGAGGCAAUCGGAAUUCAGGGUGUAGCGGUGAAAUGCGUAGAUAUACGGAGGAACACCAGUGGCGAAGGCGGAUUGCUGGACAGUAACUGACGCUGAGGCGCGAAAGCGUGGGGAGCAAACAGGAUUAGAUACCCUGGUAGUC